GGAGGGUGCAAGCGUUAAUCGGAAUAACUGGGCGUAAAGGGCAUGCAGGCGGUUCAUCAAGUAGGAUGUGAAAUCCCCGGGCUCAACCUGGGAACAGCAUACUAAACUGGUGGACUAGAGUAUUGCAGGGGGAGACGGAAUUCCAGGUGUAGCGGUGGAAUGCGUAGAUAUCUGGAAGAACACCAAAGGCGAAGGCAGUCUCCUGGGCAAAUACUGACGCUCAUAUGCGAAAGCGUGGGUAGCAAACAGGAUUAGAUACCCUGGUAGUCCACGCCGUAAACGAUGUCGAUUUGGAGGUUGUGCCCUUGAGGCGUGGCUUCCGGAGCUAACGCGUUAAAUCGACCGCCUGGGGAGU
rnacentral:rRNA from 1 species